GACGAACGCUGGCGGCGUGCCUAAUACAUGCAAGUAGAACGCACAGUUUAUACCGUAGCUUGCUACACCAUAGACUGUGAGUUGCGAACGGGUGAGUAACGCGUAGGUAACCUGCCUGGUAGCGGGGGAUAACUAUUGGAAACGAUAGCUAAUACCGCAUAAUAUUAAUUAUUGCAUGAUAAUUAAUUGAAAGGUGCAAUUGCACCACUACCAGAUGGACCUGCGUUGUAUUAGCUAGUAGGUGAGGUAACGGCUCACCUAGGCGACGAUACAUAGCCGACCUGAGAGGGUGAUCGGCCACACUGGGACUGAGACACGGCCCAGACUCCUACGGGAGGCAGCAGUAGGGAAUCUUCGGCAAUGGACGAAAGUCUGACCGAGCAACGCCGCGUGAGUGAAGAAGGUUUUCGGAUCGUAAAGCUCUGUUGUAAGAGAAGAACGGGUGUGAGAGUGGAAAGUUCACACUGUGACGGUAUCUUACCAGAGAGGGACGGCUAACUACGUG
rnacentral:rRNA from 1 species